AAAAAAAAAAAAAAAAGCAAACUAAAUCCGAGUAUGAUUUAUAACUAUACGAUCUCUUUAAAAAAUUAAGUGUAAGUUUUUUAAAAAAUAAUUGAUAAUCAAGAAAAAAAAUCAUAUAAGCAAAGAAAAAUACCCUACCAGUCAUAAACGCAUCGGGUAAACCAAGCAAACAAGACCAUAUCUUUAUUCUUUUGCCGCGGAAAAAAUGGAGGGAAAAAAAAAGA
rnacentral:misc_RNA from 1 species